UGUACCACCUGUUGAACCACUGUGUUCCGUGUUUCUAUAUAGCAUGUGGCUUAAGAUGCUACACAUGCACAGCUGCUGACCCACAUUCCUGCACAGACACCACAUCUUGUUCUUUCAUCUUCAACCGCUGUUACUCUUUGAGGGUAGAAGGUUACAAUGUGGUCACCAAAGGCUGCCAGAAUAGCAUAACAUGUGGAGGCGCCAUAGCUUGCUGUGAGGGGGACCUGUGCAACAGCGCCAUACCUACUGGUCCCAGUAUCAUCCUCCUGCUGGUAUCUUCAUCCGUCAUCACACUCUUACUUUGAGCCUUUGGAAGAGCUACAGCUGUGAAUAUUUACUGUAGCAGUUCCCAUGUAACACUUUUGAUUUGUACAACUUUAAAAGUCAAACUUUUCAUUUUCCCUCCUGCUAUGAGUCAUUUGGACCAAUUUUCAGUCGACUAAAAUACUGAUUUCCUUCUCUUUUAUCCCUGGAAUUCAUUAGUGUCCUGAUUUUAAGUGUAAAAUGUGUCUGUCCCCUGAUCUGUAGUGGAAGGUCUGUACUGAAUUUGUAUACAUUGAUGUUUGUAGAUCAAUUUGACCUGCAUGUGUUCAUGUAGUCGUAUGUAAAGGCAAAAUAAAAAGGGUUAGUUAUUGACAA